ensembl:snRNA U6 U6 spliceosomal RNA
GUGCUCCCUCUGGUAGCACUAUAUACUAAAAUUGGAAUGAUACAGAGAAGAUUAGUAUGGCCCCUGUGCAAGGAUGACAUGCAAAUUCAUGAAGCAGAAGUUCU